rnacentral:rRNA from 1 species
UGGGGAAUAUUGCACAAUGGGCGAAAGCCUGAUGCAGCAACGCCGCGUGAGUGAUGAAGGCCUUCGGGUUGUAAAGCUCUGUCUUUUGGGACGAUAAUGACGGUACCAAAGGAGGAAGCCACGGCUAACUACGUGCCAGCAGCCGCGGUAAUACGUAGGUGGCAAGCGUUGUCCGGAUUUACUGGGCGUAAAGGAUGCGUAGGCGGAUUUUUAAGUGAGAUGUGAAAUACCCGGGCUUAACUUGGGUGCUGCAUUUCAAACUGGGAAUCUAGAGUGCGGGAGAGGAGAAUGGAAUUCCUAGUGUAGCGGUGAAAUGCGUAGAGAUUAGGAAGAACACCAGUGGCGAAGGCGAUUCUCUGGACCGUAACUGACGCUGAGGCAUGAAAGCGUGGGUAGCAAACAGGAUUAGAUACCCUGGUAGUCCACGCCGUAAAACGAUGAGUACUAGGUGUAGGAGGUAUCGACCCCUUCUGUGCCGCAGUUAACACAAUAAGUACUCCGCCUGGGAAGUACGAUUGCAAGAUUAAAACUCAAAGGAAUUGAC